rnacentral:rRNA from 1 species
GACGAACGCUGGCGGCGUGCUUAACACAUGCAAGUCGAACGGUGACGGAGAGCUUGCUCUCCUGAUCAGUGGCGAACGGGUGAGUAACACGUGGGCAACCUGCCCAGACUUCGGGAUAACGCUUCGAAAGAGGUGCUAAUACCGGAUACGAGCUCCUUGGGCAUCCUUGGAGUUGGAAAGUUUUUCGGUCUGGGAUGGGCCCGCGGCCUAUCAGCUAGUUGGUGAGGUAACGGCUCACCAAGGCGACGACGGGUAGCCGGCCUGAGAGGGCGACCGGCCACACUGGGACUGAGACACGGCCCAGACUCCUACGGGAGGCAGCAGUGGGGAAUAUUGCGCAAUGGGCGAAAGCCUGACGCAGCAACGCCGCGUGA